CCUACGGGAGGCAGCAGUAGGGAAUAUUGCUCAAUGGGGGAAACCCUGAAGCAGCAACGCCGCGUGGAGGAUGAAGGUUUUCGGAUUGUAAACUCCUUUUGUUAGAGAAGAUAAUGACGGUAUCUAACGAAUAAGCACCGGCUAACUCCGUGCCAGCAGCCGCGGUAAUACGGAGGGUGCAAGCGUUACUCGGAAUCACUGGGCGUAAAGAGCGCGUAGGCGGGAUAGCAAGUCAGAUGUGAAAUCCUAUGGCUUAACCAUAGAACUGCAUUUGAAACUGUUAUUCUAGAGAAUGGGAGAGGUAGGUGGAAUUCUUGGUGUAGGGGUAAAAUCCGUAGAGAUCAAGAGGAAUACUCAUUGCGAAGGCGACCUGCUAGAACAUAACUGACGCUGAUGCGCGAAAGCGUGGGGAGCAAACAGGAUUAGAUACCCCUGUAGUC
rnacentral:rRNA from 1 species